CCAGCAGUCGCGGUANUACGUAGGGUGCGAGCGUUAAUNGGAAUUACUGGGCGUAAAGCGGGCGCAGACGGUUACUUAAGCAGGAUGUGAANUCCCCGGGCUCAACCUGGGAACUGCGUUNUGAACUGGGUGACUAGAGUGUGUCAGAGGGAGGUAGAAUUCCACGUGUAGCAGUGAAAUGCGUAGAGAUGUGGAGGAAUACCGAUGGCGAAGGCAGCNUCCUGGGAUAACACUGACGUUCAUGCCCGAAAGCGUGGGUAGCAAACAGGAUUAGAUACCCUGGUAGUCCACGCCCUAAACGAUGUCGAUUAGCUGUUGGGCAGCAUGACUGCUUAGUAGCGAAGCUAACGCGUGAAAUCGACCGCCUGGGGAGUACGGUCGCAAGAUUAAAACUCAAAGGAAUUGACGGGGACCCGCACAAGCGGUGGAUGAUGUGGAUUAAUUCGAUGCAACGCGAAGAACCUUACCUGGUCUUGACAUGUACGGAACCCUCCAGAGACGGAGGGGUGCCUUCGGGAGCCGUAACACAGGUGCUGCAUGGCUGUCGUCAGCUCGUGUCGUGAGAUGUUGGGUUNNNNNNNNNNNNCGAGCGCAACCCUUGUCAUUAGUUGCCAUCAUUAAGUUGGGCACUCUAAUGAGACUGCCGGUGACAAGCCGGAGGAAGGUGGGGAUGACGUCAAGUCCUCAUGGCCCUUAUGACCAGGGCUUCACACGUCAUACAAUGGUCGGUACAGAGGGUAGCCAAGCCGCGAGGUGGAGCCAAUCUCACAAAACCGAUCGUAGUCCGGAUUGCACUCUGCAACUCGAGUGCAUGAAGUCGGAAUCGCUAGUAAUCGCAGGUCAGCAUACUGCGGUGAAUACGUUCCCGGNUCU
rnacentral:rRNA from 1 species